rfam:TPA: Bos taurus chromosome 16, whole genome shotgun sequence.
CCCUGGUAGCUCAGUGGUAAAGAAUCUGCCUGCCAAGCAGGAUACCCAGGUUCGAUCCCUGGAUCAGGAA